GGCCGGUUGGCCCAAUGGUAAGGCGUCUGACUACGAUUGGUUCUUAGCAACUAGUAAUCAGGAGAUUCUGGGUUCGAGCCCCAGGCUGGUCA